rnacentral:rRNA from 1 species
AUAGAUACCCGGGUAGUCCACGCCGUAAACGAUGUCGACUUGGAGGUUGUGCCCUUGAGGCGUGGCUUCCGGAGCUAACGCGUUAAGUCGACCGCCUGGGGAGUACGGCCGCAAGGUUAAAACUCAAAUGAAUUGACGGGGGCCCGCACAAGCGGUGGAGCAUGUGGUUUAAUUCGAUGCAACGCGAAGAACCUUACCUACUCUUGACAUCCAGAGAACUUGGCAGAGAUGCUUUGGUGCCUUCGGGAACUCUGAGACAGGUGCUGCAUGGCUGUCGUCAGCUCGUGUUGUGAAAUGUUGGGUUAAGUCCCGCAACGAGCGCAACCCUUAUCCUUUGUUGCCAGCGGUCCGGCCGGGAACUCAAAGGAGACUGCCAGUGAUAAACUGGAGGAAGGUGGGGAUGACGUCAAGUCAUCAUGGCCCUUACGAGUAGGGCUACACACGUGCUACAAUGGCGCAUACAAAGAGAAGCGACCUCGCGAGAGCAAGCGGACCUCAUAAAGUGCGUCGUAGUCCGGA